UACGUAGGUGGCAAGCGUUAUCCGGAAUUAUUGGGCGUAAAGCGCGCGCAGGUGGUUUCUUAAGUCUGAUGUGAAAGCCCACGGCUCAACCGUGGAGGGUCAUUGGAAACUGGGAGACUUGAGUGCAGAAGAGGAAAGUGGAAUUCCAUGUGUAGCGGUGAAAUGCAUAGAGAUAUGGAGGAACACCAGUGGCGAAGGCGACUUUCUGGUCUGUAACUGACACUGAGGCGCGAAAGCGUGGGGAGCAAACAGG
rnacentral:rRNA from 1 species